ensembl:lncRNA
GGAGAGAUAGAAAGGAAGGAUGAAGGGAGAUAUAGAGCGAGGGAUGACUGGAGGGAUAGAAGGAGGAUAGAAGGGAGGGAUAGAAAGGAGAGAUAGAAGGGAGGGAUGAAGGGAGAUAUAGAAGGGAGGGGUGAAUGGAGGGAUAGAAGGGAGAGAUAGAAGGGAGGAUAGAAGGGAGGGAUAGAAAGGAGAGAAAGAAGGGAGAGAUAGAAGGGAGGGAUGAAUUGAGGGAUAGAAGGGAGAGAUAGAAGGGAGAGAUGAAGGGAGGGAUGAAGGAAGAGAUAGAAGGGAGAGAUAGAAGGGAGGGGUGAAGGGAGAGAUAGAAGGGAGGGGUGAAGGGAGGAGACAGAAGGAGAAAUAGAAUGGAGAAAUGGAAGGGAGGGAUGAAGGGAGAUAUAGAAGAGAGAGAGAAGGAGGGACAGAAGGGAGCGAUAGAAGGGAGGGAUGAAGGGAGGGAUGAAGGGAGGGAGGGAUAAAAGGGAGAGAUGAAGGGAGGGAAGAAGGGAGAGAUAGAAGGGAGCGAUAGAAGGGAGGGGUGAAGGGAGGGAUGAAGGGAGGAUGAAGGUAGGGAUAGAAGGGGGGGGAUAGAAGGG